rnacentral:lncRNA from 1 species
UGCACGAAGUUUGUUAUCGCUUUCUUGGUAAAGAACACUUUAUUAUUCACUUGAAUGACCAUCUAUAAAAUGUUUUACGCAUCUCUUCAUGUGCAUCCACCUAAUCUGUAAUGCUAGUGAAUAGCAUUACUUCCCUCACGAUUCCAAUUAAAUUAUUGAAUUUGGUCAGUGAUGAAGAUUGAAGCAUGAAUAAGAUUUUUCUUUAACUGGAGCAACAAGAAGAUGAUAGUUGGAGAUUGAUUACUUUGAUGAUGUUAAAUCUAGAUAUCUAACCUUUAAAAUGUUGUGUGUAUACUCAUCAAAGUUAAUAUCUUUGAAAAGUAUACAUAUAUGUGAAAAUCAACAGGUUUGUUCAUUAUUUUCUUCUGCUGGAAUAUGAAUAUCUGUGAAACCAUCUUUAGCUAACAAUUGUUUUCCCAAUUCUUCAGCAUGACGGCGCCCAUAAUAUCACCAACUGCUCUUACAGUUGGAGAGACCAAUAUGCCCAUUACAGGUAUGUCGUUAUGAUAUACUUCAUGUGUUUGGGAGAUGCUGUUAUCUGCUUGAUGUCUAACUGAAUCUGAAAAGAUUGAUCAUAUGAGCGCUAUAGAGUGAUUGUGCACACUGUCUUUUGUCUUCGACUUGGUAUACCCCAGACUCUGUUAUGAACCAUAGUGAUGACGUGGAGGACAGCAGGGCUAAAUCGGAAGAUAAUUUUAUUCAGCCUAGAAGGAGUAACCGUGUGAAAAUACCAUCUAAAAGAUUUGUUGACUUUGUCUAACAGAACGUGGGGCAAAGUGUGCGCUAAAUAUACGGCAAGUGGAGUAGGAAGUAUCUGUUAUAAAUCUAUUAUCUCUAUGCGUAGAAAAAGGAGGCUAUGGUGUUUCGUUGGAUCUCUAUUUCUCAUCUCUAUUUUCUUCUGUAAUUCUCUUCUCAUCUCUUCUCUGUUUCUUCUCAUUUCCUUGCAGUUUUUAUGUAAUCAGUAGUUGUUGUAAUCUAGUUCAGUAAUUAAUAUAGUGAUCAGUUGGUCGUUAUUGCGUUUGUUAUAGACUCCCAAACCUUCCCUCCCUCCCCGGGACAACAGUGAUUCCUCCACUUUUCCCUUGGUUAUUCGAACUCCAAAAAUUUUGGUUGGAAAUGAGAUGCUCUUACAACUGGAGUAACUUCUUGCACAUACUGAUUUAAGAAGGAUGGUCUUCUUUUUAAAAAUAUUCUUUACUGUGUGGCAACUGGUACCAGUGUGAAUUUUUAAAACUAUAGUUAGCUGCAAACUACUUAUGCAUUAUCCUCCUUUUUUUUUUAAUGAACUACUUUAUUAUUUUAUUUUGGAUAGGUACUACUUUACUGUUUACAAUCUUAUAUUAGUUUUUGUCCUCACACGCAGAAAAUCUUAUGCGGUUCGUAUUAGCAGGAAAUCUUCUGGGCUUUCCUGCAAUUUCUGUCCCUGUAAGCAUAGCAUCUUUAUCCUAUGUACUUGGGAAUCUAGACUAACUGCAGAUUGAGUAAAAAUAACUUGCCGGAAUAUUGAAAAUAUCAACGUUGGAGGCAAACUAAAUUUUAUACACGGUCUAGAUACCCUGUAUGUUAAAAGAUUACUGCAUUAUCUGCUCUCAUCUCUUUUUAAAUGUCUACAUCAGUUAAUUUAAAGCCCUUGUUCCCUGGAAAAGUUGUUAAUGCUGAACUGCACAAAAAAUUGUCUAGUUUAGUUGAAGCCUAUGCCCUGGAAAGUUUGAACGGGAAAUAAAAUUGCAUUACAAAAGGUUCCUCUGUAACAUUUUCAAAACUAUCAACUAUAAAAACACAAUUGUUAAUACUAAUUAUGACGGUACCCAAUAAUAUCUCCAUCUGUUUUAAAAUUUUGUUGGAAUGUUGUAUAUCAGGUUGGUUAUGACAAGCAAGGACUUCCCAUAGGAAUGCAGCUCAUUGGUCGUCCAUGGUGCGAAUCAUCCAUUUUGCUCUUGGCAGCUGCCAUAGAGGUAUGGUUACCCUUCCAACAAAUGAGUCACUUGCCAUUUUCUUGAAAAAGAAGACACCUAAUUACUUUGGUUAGAAAUGCCAAAAUUAUCACAUGAAAAUCUGACCCUUCCAACACAUUCCGAGUUAAUGACCUGUCUAUUUAUUAACUUGCUUUUAAUAAUUGAGUCUAUUUUGACCCGCUCAAAUUCAAUCCAACUCACUUAUUUGAUACCCCUAGUAAUAGUCGAUUUGUUGCUUUUCUCAGGAAACUUGUGCUGGGCCUAAGAAGAAGCCGGUGCAGUUUUAUGAUAUUUUGAAAGGGAACCUGAUGUCGCUUUGAGCUUAUACACAAUGGUGGAGCUUCUCAGACUCAGACGUUGGUGGUUUGAGAAUGCUUAUUAAAACUGUAAUCUUGAAUUAUACCUUUCCUUGUUCAAUAAAAAGUUGUCUAAGUUUGUAUUUCCUUGGGUGGUUUGGUAGGGUGUAUAAAAAUAGUAGUAAUAAAAUGGUGUAUCAGUAAUGCUAUGAUUAAUUACAUUAAUAUUAGUUAUGUUGAGAUUCUUUCGUAUUCACUUUUUGGUUUAGUGUACUAAAAAUAUCGGCAUUGCAUAAUUAUCCAUAGACUUCGAGAGCAGCUCUAUGUUUAACCAUGAUAAUCCAUAUAUUAAUAAACCUCAUAUCACUAAUGUCAUUGUUUCUUAUGUAUAAGAAUAGUACUACUAAAUAUGAUGUAUAAUUAAUACAAAUAUUAGUUAUUCAUAAGUUGAAAAUACUACCAAACAAGAGAUAGAAUAAUAUUAAAAUUACUAUCAAUAAUAUUAUUUUCUCUAAUACGUCCUACCAAAUUGACCCUUAAUACUUAAAUAGUCGUCUUAUAGUCAAGCUAUAUUAGAUCAACUUUGGAAGAAAGAAAGAUAAAGAGAACGUACAUGAAAAUACACCAAAUAAUCGUAAUCCCGUAUUAAAAUCACGACUCUCAAUAAUAGUAUACUUAAAAAUAAGUUAAUUCAAAUGCACUUAGAACUUGUUUGACAUUACUACUAAAAACAAGUUAUUUUUAGGACUUUUAAAAAAUGACUUUUUAGAAAAGUGCUUUUUAAAUAAAACACAAUUUGUGUUUGACUAGUUUAUUUGAAAAGUGUUUUUUACAAAUAAAUUGCGUUUGAUUAAUCUUUUUCAAAAAGAGAUUUUAAGAGUCAAAUUACAAAAAAAAGACAACUAUUAAUGUACUUCUAAAUAUGUACAUACGAAAAAGAUAUUUUAGUCUUGCGAAAAAAUAAUAUUUUAUUUCUGCUUCUGCUUCUGCUUUUUUUAUUAAUUUUUUUUUUUUAGCUUCUUUUCAAUAGCAGAAAAACUGUUUGUGCCUCUAUUUGUUAAACACUUAAUUUGUUAACAAAAAUAUUUUUUUCUCAGUAACUGCCACAUGGAAUCGGGCGGGAGACUGGACCUUUUAAGACGACGCAAUACGGUUGUCGGCGGGAACAUGACACAAUCGGCGCGGUAUCUUCACGAAUUAAUUCGAUUCUCCAUAACUCCCCACUCCCCAACAAGCUUUGCUCCAGAGAAAUUAAAAAAAAAGCAUUUUUUUUGUCAUUUGUGGUGCAUCAUACUCAGACUUUCAAAUGCCUUACUCAAUUUCAGUAUGUUGACAGCUGGCUUCACCGCUUGCCGAUAAUCGGAUCUCUAUAAAGCAACUAUGUUCUGGAGUAUAAUUCUGCAUCUCUUUCACUAGUAAUUAAUCAAUUGUCGACGAUUUUAAUAGUUUGAAUCGGUUGUUUGUUAGAAAUGGGGAAAAAGUUAGUGAAGUUGCCGGCGACUGAAGUUGACAUGACGGCCGCUAAGUAUAAGCCUCAAAGAGUUCAAGGUCUUCUUCCCUCUGUCAUUCAUAGUUUGUUUGCUAUUUUUUCCCCUUUUUUAUGACUUUAAAAGCUAAAUUGCAAGUAUUAGAUUAGUAUACGUUUGUUAAAACAUAAAUAAAUCAAGAGUUAGAUAUUCGGAAAUACACAAAAAAAAAGUAUCAUAAAGUUGGAAUUUUCAUAUCAAAAUGGUGGAAUAUUGGUACAUCUUAAAAUGUUUGUCAAAGUUCAUUUUGAGACAUAUGGUAGGGAAUAGUUGUUAUAAAUCUCUGUAUUGUUAUUUCGAGUUAUUCAGUUGUGAAUUUGCACCUAUGGACAUGCAGCUCCACAUCUGACUGGAUUUUGGUUGAAGUUAUUUGUCAUGUUGAUUGAAGCACCAAUUAUUGGUUCAAUGAUCUUGAUUCUCUUGAAGAACAAGAACCGAAUAACCGAGGUUUGAUUCUUAAUGUGUCCAAUUUCUAUUUGUUUUUAUGUUGUAAAUAUUCAUGUCAAGGGGAUGUCAUAUUCUAUGAUAACUGAAAAGGUUAAGUGUUCAUGAUUGAUAGAUAUUGAAGAAUACUGUGAUACCGGAGGCUCCCAUGUUUAUACCUGAAUUUCCUCCUAAAGGUUAGUUUCGAUAUCACUCUUUCUUCAGUAUUUAUCUUGAAGCUUUCUCUCUCUACGUUGUCUACACUCCUGUCCGUCUUCUCAAAAGUGUGAUUUUUUUCCCGCUCAGCUAUCCUUGGUUUACGAGUAGACCAUCAUAAUGAAAAGGAACUGCUUGACUUGGUCAACAUGCUUGUUUAAAUAGGCUUAUCUUUUGUCCUAUUCCUUAUCAAAAAAAAAAGAAGAAGAAAAGAUAGGCUUUUUUUUGUUUCAACCUUUUUUCUCUUUCCUUAUAAAAGACCUCUAUUUGGAAGAGGGGUGGAGGUGAAGUGGGUUGAGCAUAUCCGGUGGUAGGCGUUUAUUUCUGGAGUAAUAAAGGAGAUAACAAGAUUAUUUUAUGAUAAAACCAAUGCCACUUGGAGUCACUAACUGACUUUGUAUGGCAUGUGGAUUUAGAGUCAGAACCUGAUGUUUUUUGCUUGGAAGAAGAUGGGAAACCUGAAGAACGCGUUGAGUUAGCCUUGCAGUGUCUUCCAGAUUACAAUCCAGGCUGUAUUUGGAUUUCUGAUCCAACUGCACCAUUUCGCUAUUGGAAGAUUCGUGAUUACGCAUAUGCUUACAAAUCUAAGCUUACAACUCCAUCUCAGGCAAGCCAUUGUUUUCCCAAUUUUCAUGCUGUCCGUAUAAAUGUAUUAGGAUAAGCUUAUUUUACAAUUGUGUCAUAGGUAGCAGAGCACUUCAUCUCAGCUAUAGAAGAGUCUAACAACAAGAAUCCACUGGCACCACUAUUGAUUUCUUAUGAUCCUGAUGAAGUCAGAAGGCAAGCUGAUGCUUCCACGCAAAGAUUUAAAGAAGGUACUCUGGGGUAUAUUUUCUUAUGGUCUUAUGCAGAGACAUGUAUGCUGUUGUUCCAUUGUAAUUCAAAAAUAUUCAUGCCUGCUAGAGUGCUAUCUGCAUUUGACUCUACUUAGCUACUAUUUCUUAGCCAUUGAGUUUGUGCAGGAAGUGAAUUAUCAAUCCUGGAUGGUAUCUUUAUAGCAGUUAAGGAUGACAUUGAUUGCUAUCCAUAUCCAUCAAAGGGUAUGUACUCUAGUUCUAGUCACCAAAGCAUAGUUCUUUGCCAGAUUUAGUUGCAUACUUAAUGACUAACAGGUGGAACAACUUGGUUUCACGAGCUUCGUGAGGUGAAGAAGGAUGCUGUCUGCGUCUCAAGAUUACGAUGCUGCGGUGCAGUUUUGGUUGGAAAGACGAAUAUGCAUGAAUUGGCCCUCGGAACAACUGGAAAUAAUGCGAAUUUUGGGUGAGUUUAUCUUACAAGCUGUACACAAUAGGUAAGAAAUGCCCGCAGUUUCAUAGUAAGUAAGUCAUGAUGCUAAAGCUCACUAAACAUUUAAUUAAGUCACACAUUGGGCCAAAAAUAUUAAAUGAAGUAGCAAACCUGGGGAAAAAAUUUCCAUGAAGAGAAACCUUAAAGAUUUCAUAGUAAUGUUUCCUUUUGAAUUGUGGACUUAAUUAUUGCUAUGUACAUGGACUCUGACAAUUCUAACAAUUUAACUUAAAACUCCAUUUAGGAAAUGUUUACACUACAAAACAACAGUAUGGGUGAGAGGAUUUCUUUAUAUGACAGGACAACCACGAAUCCACAUGCUCCAGAUAGGUACACAGGCGGCUCUUCCUCAGGCUCUGCAGCUAUUGUAGCUUCUGGAUUGUGUUCUGCUGCACUGGGAACAGAUGGAGGAGGUUGUCUAUGAUACCAUGUAGCUCGUGAGUCAUCUUAUGAAAUAUUUUUAUGUCAUGUUUGCUAAAGUUUAUUUUUACAGGUUCAGUUCGGAUUCCUUCUUCCCUUUGUGGUGUGGUGGGCUUGAAGACAACAUAUGGAAGGACUGACAUGAAAGGGUGAGCUCCUACUGCGGAGGAGUUCUGAAUUUAUAUGUCUGCAUUCUGGUCUGCUUAAACCAUGGUGGGGGUAGAGUUAUCCGGUACUAGUGUUGGUGGGAGGUACAGGUACCUGAUGAAGUCAUUGAUGUGCGUGCAAGCUAGCCCCAACACGAUUAUUGUAAAUAAAAGAUUUUUUCUUGAAGUUCCUUCUAUGGCAAAAUAAAUAUUUUAUUUUUUUUAGCAAUUAUAUGUGCAAAAAUGUUGCUUUUUUGUCAACUAAAUUGUGAAUCUACUAUACAUACUUCAUUAUUUUCGCACUAGCUUUGUAAGUCUUAAAUAGGUAAAUCUUUAGUCUCAUCAGUUUUUUUUUUCAGGUUGCUAUAUCAUAGUGGAACAGUGGCAAUUGUUGGACCUAUCACAGCAACUGUUGAGGAUGCCAUUUUGGUGUAAGUAGUUAACGGUUUUGAAUGUUCCAAAGUGUACUUGUUUUCGAAGUCCAGUUCUUAUAGUUCUAUAAAUGGUGAUGUGACAAUGCAAAUUGGCCUCAUCACUGGGGAAGAAUGUGCAGUUAUGUAGUUUGUGAUUACAACUCAUCCUAGUACUUGAAUUCAUAUUAUAUGCCUGUGAAGUGCUACUAUCAGCAGAAGGUUUGAUUGUGUUUCUCACAGUAUUUGUGCGUAUCCAGUUCUGCUUUAUUUUGCUUAAAUCUACUCGAUUAAAGAAUCUUAGAGGGCUUACCUCCCUUUAUCUUGGGGAUGGGACAGAGUGUGUUUCCUACUCUAUUUAUGCUUUGAGAGAUGAAAGUAGUAAACAUACAAGAUUCCUUCCUCCAACUAUGCAAGUUAAUCAAUCUAUCAAUCAACUACUCCUUAAUCUCAAACUAAUCAGGAUUUUUCUACUUUUUGCCUUAUAUGAGCUUAGAUAAACAUUUCCAGAAAGCUAAGUCGUGAUAUCUUACUAUCAGGUAUGCUGCAAUUUUAGGAUCUUCUCCUGCUGAGAGAGUUUCAUUGAAACCGGUAAUUACCCAAGAAUAUUGCAUGCUCAUCAUUACAAUCUAUAUUGUAUGAUGCUUCAUUUGUUUUUUAAUUUCCUCUAUUUCAUUAAAAUGUCACAGAAUAUAAAUUGAUUGACCAUCUGCUCUAAUUUCUCUAGUAUCGUAAAAACCCACAAGAAAUCUAAAAAGAAGAGUUGUUAUACAACUUCUUAGUGUUGGGAACCCUUGUAGUAUGUAAACCUUGGAGAGAAAGGCUUCUCGAGUGGUAGUUUCAGUCUUUUUCUGGCCUCUGGAUAAAUUCUGGAGAUAGAAAUCCUGAAGCUGUGCAACUCCUGCAAUAGCCAGGUUACGUGAAUUACAAUACUGAAGAAAGUAACUUCUAGCUAAUGUAGUAGGACCUAAACAUCAGCUCUUGAGAGUACAAAGUAAGAGGUUGAUUCUAAUGACUUUUUGUAGUUUAGAUGAACUAGGGAGCAUUGUACUUCUUAUUCAGAUUAUUCUGGAGUUAUGUUUCAUUUUGUGAAGGUAAUUUUCAACUUGUGAGUUUCAAAGCUGAGUUGUGCAUGUGCCUAAUUCCAUUGAAAUCCGUUACUAUGUUUCAGCCCCUCCCUUGUUUACCAAAUUUAAGUUCAUGUGGGAGCUGGUGCUCUACUGGAUCACUGCGCUUGGGGAAGUAUACUGAGGUAAUUGCUUUUCUGGUAGAGAAGUGUCUGAAAUGUAACUUUCUUGUAACAAUUAAAUUAUCUCUUGACUUCCUCCUUCAGUGGUUCAAUGAUGUUUUCUCAACUGAAAUAUCUGAUAAGUGUGAGGAUAUUCUAAACCAGCUAUCAGAAAAACAUGGGUGUAAAGUAAGUUUAUUUCCCAUAUCCAAUUCUUUGGUUAUGUCAAGGAAUUGUCCCUGUUCAUCUUCCAUCUGCUCUCAUAGAGUUCAGGAGUCUUGUGAGCAUCAAUUUUGUGACUAACUAUUUUCUUUCUAUCUAGCUCUUUCCUAUUUCUAAAAGGGUUUUGUCUUUCUUCCCUUAAUUGAAGACGUUAGAGAUUGUAAUACCAGAGUUGCAUGAGAUGUUCAUUGCACAUGUUGUUUCGAUUGGCUCUGAAGCAUUAUCUCAGCUGAAUCCUGACCUUGAGGAUGGGUAUGUUUACCUUACUGAGCAGGUCUUUCAUGUGCUUGAUCUGGCUUGUCUGGGAUAGUACAUGACAUGAUGGCAUUAUUCAUAUUCUUCUUGAUGAAUACCUUGCAGCUUUCCCUUUAUAUAAUGAUAUGUUCACCUGAUUUCAGGAAAUUAGCAAGAUUAACAUAUGACAGUAGGAUAAAUCUGGCCCUUUUUCAAACAUAUUCAGCGUCGGAUUAUGUUGCUGCUCAGUGUCUUAGGUGGGGCAUAAGUUAUCAAAUUCUGAAUUUGAUCUGCACUGCAAAUUUAUUGGCAUUUAAAAAGAUAUUUGAACAGAGAUGUGCAUAGCUUGAUCAUUUGUUACUUGUUUUGAAAGUCUAAGACAGUGGUUUUCUGUACUUUCGGGCAACGGUUGCAUAAAAAGACAGAAAAAUCUUGUCAAUGGCACGAGAUUCUCAUUACCAUUGCCUGCUUGUAUCUGAUGAGAAUGAUAUUAAAUCUUUUUGGUAUAUUUUAUUUUGGAUCCAUUAGUUACGUUGCUACUCAUAAAUUUGCUCAAGAAAUAUCAUAAUCUCCUUUAUGUAAGAAAGUGACUAUUAGUCUUCCUAAUUUUUUUCAUGAUCAAUCUUGGGCUUAAUACUAUGUGUUAAAAUCAUCUAGAUAGGUUUUAUUUCUUUUCAAAGAACGUAGGUAGGAUGAAAAUAAGAAAGAGAAAGCCUGUAGCUUUUAUGCUCUAUGAUUUUUAGCUGCUCUGUUGUUCUCUCUAAUCUUGUUUAUCCUCUUGUGUCUUAUACUAAUGAAAGCAUGCAUUUCAAUAAUUCUUGGUAUUUAAUUCAGUUAUCAAUUAGGCUAGAAGUGCAUUCUCUUCUGAUAUAGGCAACAUGUAAAGUUUUUAAGUACAAUACAUGAUAAUUUCUCUUAAUAUUUCAGGCGAAGGUUAAUGCAUUUCUACGUGGAGAUUUUCAAGAAGGUGGAUAUCAUUGUGACACCUACUACUGCGUAUGUAACCACAUUCCUAUAUUUGGGCUUAGUGGAUAAAUUUUGUUAUCACUUUCUUGGUAAAAACACCUUAUUAUUCAUUUGAAUGACCGUCUUGUAAAAAUAUUACACAUAUCUCUUUAUGUGCAUGCACCUAAUCUGCAGAUGCUUCCUUUAGUUUCUCUGAUGUUCUUCUUUCCUUUUUUUUCUGUUUUUCAUUGGAUAGACGCUUGUGAAUAGCAUUAUUUCCCUCACUAUUCCUAUUAAAUUAUUGAAUUUGGUCAGUGAUGAAGCAUGAAUAAGAUUUUUCUUUAACUGGA